UCCGGGUUGGGCUGCUGGCAGGCUCGACGGGGUUUUGGCCCCCGGCACAGACGCAGGUUCGAUUCCUGCACCCGGAG
rnacentral:tRNA from 1 species